CUGCUGCCUCCCGUAGGAGUCUGGGCCGUGUCUCAGUCCCAGUGUGGGGGGCCUUCCUCUCAGAACCCCUACGCAUCGUCGCCACGGUGGGCCGUCACCCCGCCGUCUAGCUAAUGCGCCGCAUGCCCACCCGCCACCGGAUCGCUCCUUUGGCCACCGGAGGAUGCCCUCCGGUGGCGUCACGGGGUAUUAGGCCGCGUUUCCGCGGGUUAUCCCCCUGUGGCGGCCAGGUUGCAUACGUGUUACUCACCCGUGCGCCGGUCGCCGGCGG
rnacentral:rRNA from 1 species